rnacentral:rRNA from 1 species
UACGCAGGCGGCUAGGUAAGACAGGUGUGAAAUCCCCGGGCCUAACCUGGGAACUGCAUUUGUGACUGCUUAGCUAGAGUCUGUCAGAGGGGGGUGGAAUUCCACGUGUAGCAGUGAAAUGCGUAGAGAUGUGGAGGAACACCGAUGGCGAAGGCAGCCCCCUGGGAUAAGACUGACGCUCAUGUACGAAAGCGUGGGGAGCAAACA